UACGGAGGGGGCUAGCGUUGUUCGGAAUUACUGGGCGUAAAGCGCGCGUAGGCGGACCUGCAAGUCGGGGGUGAAAGCCUGUGGCUCAACCACAGAAUUGCCUUCGAUACUGUUUGGCUUGAGACCGGAAGAGGUUAGUGGAACUGCGAGUGUAGAGGUGAAAUUCGUAGAUAUUCGCAAGAACACCAGUGGCGAAGGCGGCUGACUGGUCCGGUUCUGACGCUGAGGCGCGAAAGCGUGGGGAGCGAACAGG
rnacentral:rRNA from 1 species